UUCCUUUGCUUAGUUUAUUUCGACUCUGUUAUAUCCUCAUUUGCAUUCAUCUGUAGGUGAGCAAUUAACAUUAUUAUUUGUGUUGCUCUUAAUUCAUAAAUAUUAUACCAUAAACUGUGCUUUAGGUAGUUCAGAAUAAUAAAGAUUAGAAUAUGAAGGCUGAGCGUCUGGGGAAAUUUUUUUAAAGAAAUGUUUCUGAACAAAAACCACAGCACAGAUUAAGGAUUGGUGCUUACAAUACAAAGAAUGAUAAGCAACAUGCAUUAAAAUUUUACUGAAGGCUGGGCGCGGGGGCUCACGCCUGUAAUCCCAGCACUUUGGGAGGCCGAGGCGGGCGGAUCAUGAGGUCAGGAGAUUAAGACCAUCCUGGCUAAUACAGUGAAACCCCGUCUCUACUAAAAAUACAAAAAAAAUUAGCCGGGCAUGGUGGCAGGUGCCUGUAGUCUCAGCUACUUGGGAGGCUGAGGCAGGAGGAUGGCGUGAACCCGGGAGGCAGAGCUUGCAGUGAGCUGAGAUCGUGCCACUACAUUCCAGCCUGGGCGACAGAGCGAGACUCCAUCUCAAAAAAAAAAAAAAAAAAUUUACUGAAGACAUUUUCUUAGUAGUGACUGUACUUGGAAGACCCCUGGGCUCUUUAAAGUGGUAUGCAGAUGAAGAGAGACUGACUAGGAUGCCUUGGUUGUUCAGGGCAGAAAGAAGACACAGAGACAAAAGAUUGCUGACCUAUAAAUGGCUCUAAAUGGAAGUCCAAAACUUACUUUUCCCUGACUCGUCAUUGAGAUUGUACUUUUUAUUCAUAGUUUAACCUUCUUUACUCAAGAUGAUAAAAGAGCAAUAGGAAAAUC
rnacentral:lncRNA from 10 species